UGGAAGAAUUUCUAGGUACACU
rnacentral:miRNA from 2 species